ACGCUGCCUGGAGCCGCGGCGCCGGCGGUCUGAGCUGGGCGAUCUCGGGCCCCGGCGUGGCGGGCAGGGUGGGGCGCGCGCCGCGGGAGCGAGCCUGGCCUCCCCCCAGGCCGCGGAGACUGUUGCCGGGCGCCGAGGUUCCCAAUAAGGCUGCACGGAGGACCCCCUUGACCGUGGCAAUGGAGGGGGGCCCAGCGGUCUGCUGCCAGGAUCCCCGGGCAGAGCUGGUGGAGCGAGUGGCAGCCAUCGAUGUGGCCCGCUUGGAGGAGGCAGAUGGUGGCCCGGGGCCUGCCAGGAACGGCGUGGAACCCCCACCACGGGCCAGAGCUGCCUCCAUGAUCCCCGGAAGUGCUUCAGGACUCCCCCUACCCCGACCCAGCCUCUCCACCAGGAAGCUGUCCCUGCAGGAGCGGCCAGCAGGAAGCUGCCUGGAGGCCCAGGCUGGGCCUUACACCACGGGGCCUGCCAGCCACAUCUCUCCCCGGGCCUGGCGGAGGCCCACCAUCGAGUCCCACCGCGUGGCCAUCUCAGAUGCAGAGGACUGUGUGCAGUUGAACCAGUACAAGCUGCAGAGUGAGAUUGGCAAGGGUGCCUACGGCGUGGUGAGGCUGGCCUACAAUGAAAGUGAAGACAGGCACUAUGCAAUGAAAGUCCUUUCCAAAAAGAAGUUACUGAAGCAGUAUGGCUUUCCACGUCGCCCUCCCCCGAGAGGGUCCCAGGCUGCCCAGGGAGGACCAGCCAAGCAGCUGCUGCCCCUGGACCGGGUGUACCAGGAGAUCGCCAUCCUGAAGAAGCUGGACCACGUGAAUGUGGUGAAGCUGAUCGAGGUCCUGGAUGACCCAGCUGAGGACAAUCUCUAUUUGGUGUUUGACCUCCUGAGAAAGGGGCCGGUCAUGGAGGUGCCCUGCGACAAGCCCUUCCCGGAGGAGCAAGCUCGCCUCUACCUGAGGGACAUCAUCCUGGGCCUUGAGUACUUGCACUGCCAGAAGAUCGUCCACAGGGACAUCAAGCCAUCCAACCUGCUCCUGGGGGACGACGGGCACGUGAAGAUCGCCGACUUCGGCGUCAGCAACCAGUUUGAGGGGAACGACGCCCAGCUGUCCAGCACGGCCGGCACCCCGGCGUUCAUGGCCCCCGAGGCCAUCUCCGACACCGGCCAGAGCUUCAGUGGGAAGGCCUUGGAUGUGUGGGCCACGGGGGUCACGCUGUACUGCUUUGUCUAUGGGAAGUGCCCGUUCAUCGAUGACUACAUCCUGGCCCUGCACAGGAAGAUCAAGAAUGAGGACGUGGUGUUUCCUGAGGAGCCAAAGGUCAGCGAGGAGCUCAAGGACCUGAUCCUGAAGAUGCUAGACAAGAAUCCCGAAAGGAGAAUUGGGGUGCCAGACAUCAAGCUGCACCCGUGGGUGACCAGGAACGGGGAGGAGCCCCUUCCCUCAGAGGAGGAGCACUGCAGCGUGGUGGAGGUGACCGAGGAGGAGGUGAAGAACUCCGUCAAGCUCAUCCCCAGCUGGACCACAGUGAUCCUGGUGAAGUCUAUGCUGAGAAAGCGUUCCUUUGGGAACCCGUUUGAGCCCCAAGCACGGAAGGAAGAGCGCUCCAUGUCUGUCCCAGGAAACUUACUGCUGGGGGGAAUCAGAUACUGGAAGCUGUUGAACGUGUGACAUCAUCCCAAGAUCGACGGGUUACUCUACUUGCACAAGACGAAGAAAAUGUAAAACCAAAGCCCCUCUGCUCAGGACUGUGGAGGCUGAUCUGGGCCUACGUGGAAGGCCUGCGAGGGCGCAGGGAGGUCAGCCAAGUCAGAUCGUGUGAGGCUCCAGACUUCAUCUCUGGGCAGUAGGGAGCCAUGGAGUGUUGUAAGCCAAGAUUUGGGGUAGGGAGACCAGCAAGGAGCCACGACGCAGGAAGGAAAGACGGGUGUGGUGAAGGCAUCAAGAGCCCGGAGCUCCCUGGUGUCCAAGAAGACGAGGCUGCGUCCUGAGCCCCUGCAUGCGCCCAGGGCCACCCAGCAACACGCUCAUCCUGCGCCUCCAAAGGCCCCUGCACUCAUGCCGACAGCCGCCCCUGCGGGCAGGGGGCUGGGGACUGUGGACCCUCUCCUGGCUCCCCUCCCCCCGUCAUGCUGCAUGACCUCUGCGCGUGUCCAAGACAGGAUUGGAAUGUGUGUCAUCUGGGGUUUGGUGGGCAGGGCUCCCUCGAGCCUUUCUCCUCGUCUUGGCUCUCCCCGUGGAACCCACAUUGUGGGGAAGGUAGGUACGCUCGGUGCCUUAGGAACCCCACAUGGCUCGUCGGCAAGGCCCAGGGGCAGGAGGCAAGAAACCAUGAUGGCAGGAGGAGGCCUGGCUUACCACCACUGCAGAGACCUCCCGCCGGGGCUGGGCAGGCCGGGCUCAGCUGCCACACACAUGGAGGGGUGUACCCUGCCACCUUGGGGGGGCGCUGCCAGAGCUUGAGUCUGCUGAGAACACUGGUAUGGAGUCUCUGAGUCUUUGAUGGGUGUUCCAGGGCCUCACUGGGGCAGGGGCCAGUAUUGGAGAAUUCAGAUUCUCGUCCUGUUGUCUUUUACUUUUGUUUUUUACAUGGGGGCAAGGGGCUAUAAAGACCUGCUUGGGAACAGCACAUGACCUCUCCAAAGCUGUGGGCGGUUCCUAGUGCACCCCACCCUUACGUGCAGCCAGGUGAGCUGAACUGACCUUGCCGGAUUGUGUUUCACACCCAGCACUAGCCAGAGAAAGGGCUGAAUUCAACUCUCAGCAGAGACCUGAGCCAGGAGCACCACGUCUUCCCUGCCCGCAUCACUCCCUCUGUGGCUCCUCAGAGCCAUGGCGGCAGGAGAGGCACUAGGGGCCGACAUGGCCUGAGAGCCCUGGACUCACAGGGCUGUGGCCUUGCAGAUGCUGAAGUAACUGGAACCCAGUCUCCAAUCCUACACCGGCCUCCCCCUCUGGCCCCAGAAGCUGCCCUCACAUUCCUACGCUGAAGGACAAACUGCCCACGGUGAAGGCCGCCCUAGAGUGGGGCCUUGGUGGGGCGUGCAUGCUGGCAGGCGGCCAUGGAGCGGCAGGCCUUCCGCCACUGCCUCGCCCCAGGCCAGUCCCCAUCCAGCCUGCCCCGAGCUGGAGGGCUGGACUGUGUGUGUUGAUCGGCCAGGCUGGGGCAGACAUCUCUCUGGGACUCUGAUGGCGUGGUGUUCGCUGACCAAAUGCUCAAGAGAUUGGCCUCCAAAGGACAGCAAAGCAGGACUCAUCAGAUACCUCCCCUGAAAAUGUGGGCCAAACAAGCGGGUACAGUGGCGGGCAUGGGCCUCAUCUCACAAGAGGACUUGUGCCGAGAAGGGAGGGAGGCCGGGCCGGAGGAGGGUCCCCCCUGCGCAUCUCCGUGCCUGUGGGUGUCCGUCGCGCCUCCCCACACACGCAUGUGCGUGCCCAUCCGCUGCACAGCACACUCGCAUGUCUUGCACUGGCACAUGCAUCUGUAAUAUAGUUUCUAUGUCUAUUUAAGACUGUGAGCAGCACGUGGCCCGUCAUCAUUGGGUCCACGUUUCUCCCUGGCUCCUCUCCGCUAAGCCAUUGUAACCAGGGCUUAGGAAACAGUUCGGCACUGUUUUUAAGAACACUGUCAUAGAGUUCGUGGGAGGCCGGUCACCGACCCGCCAGCUUUUGUUGAGCAUCUCUGCGCUGGGGCCUGGCGGGUGGGGCCUCAAGGGGGCGACGUCCAUCGGACUUGCCCUCGCAGAGCUCCAAGGUGAGCCUGGCUUCGUUGGCCAGGUCACAGCCUGGAUGGCGCGCUGACCCCGCCGCCGUGGGUUUGGGUUGGCAUCGUUUUCAAACGUAGCACAAGUGAUGAAUAAACUCCAUAAGAGUGUUUUAAAAAUUAACUUCUCAGGAAGUGAGUUAAAAACAUUAAAAGCCCUUUCUUGAGUUAAAACAACA